rnacentral:rRNA from 1 species
UACGGGAGGCAGCAGUGGGGAAUAUUGGACAAUGGGCGAAAGCCUGUUCCAGCAAUACCGCGUGUGUGAAGAAGGCCUUAGGGUUGUAAAGCACUUUCAAUGGGGAGGAAAACCUGCCGGUCAAUACCCGGUAGCUUGACAUUACCUUUAGAAGAAGCACCGGCUAACUCC